AGUGAACGCUGGCGGUAGGCCUAACACAUGCAAGUCGAACGGCAGCACAGUAAGAGCUUGCUCUUACGGGUGGCGAGUGGCGGACGGGUGAGGAAUACAUCGGAAUCUACUUUUUCGUGGGGGAUAACGUAGGGAAACUUACGCUAAUACCGCAUACGACCUACGGGUGAAAGCAGGGGAUCUUCGGACCUUGCGCGAUUGAAUGAGCCGAUGUCGGAUUAGCUAGUUGGCGGGGUAAAGGCCCACCAAGGCGACGAUCCGUAGCUGGUCUGAGAGGAUGAUCAGCCACACUGGAAGGGAGACACGGUCCAGAGUCCUACGGGAGGCAGCAGUGGGGAAUGUUGGACAAUGGGGGCAAGCCUGAUCCAGCCAUACCGCGUGGGUGAAGAAGGCCUUCGGGUUGUAAAGCCCUUUUGUUGGGAAAGAAAAGCAGCAGGUUAAUACCCCGCUGUUCUGACGGUACCCAAAGAAUAAGCACCGGCUAACUUCGUG
rnacentral:rRNA from 1 species